GCGCGAAACCUCCGCAAUGCGAGCAAUCGCGACGGGGGGACCCCAAGUGCCACUCUUAACGGGGUGGCUUUUCUUAAGUGUAAAAAGCUUUUGGAAUAAGGGCUGGGCAAGACCGGUGCCAGCCGCCGCGGUAACACCGGCAGCUCUAGUGGUAGCCAUUUUUAUUGGGCCUAAAGCGUCCGUAGCCGGUUUAAUAAGUCUCUGGUGAAAUCCUGCAGCUUAACUGUGGGAAUUGCUGGAGAUACUAUUAGACUUGAGAUCGGGAGAGGUUAGAGGUACUCCCAGGGUAGAGGUGAAAUUCUGUAAUCCUGGGAGGACCGCCUGUUGCGAAGGCGUCUGACUGGAACGAUUCUGACGGUGAGGGACGAAAGCUAGGGGGCGCGAACCGGAUUAGAUACCCGGGUAGUCCUAGCUGUAAACGAUGCGGACUUGGUGUUGGGGUGGCUUUGAGCUGUCCCAGUGCCGAGGGAAGCUGUUAAGUCCGCCGCCUGGGAGUACGGUCGCAAGACUGAAACUUAAAGGAAAUUGGCGGGGGAGCACCGACAAC
rnacentral:rRNA from 1 species